GUCUCUUUCAUUCUUGAUAUAUACUUUUUGUGCUUUUCAUUCCCCCCACCCCAUAGCUCUGUUUACUUCAUUAGAUUUUUUUCUUUUUUUAUGAAAUGACAUCUUGUGGUUGUGGUGACUCUCCUGCAAGAUGAAUCAUUUCUAGGUUUCUGACUGUCAAACCAGAUGGGUCCCUAGCUGCGCCUAUACCUGUCACCACCAGUAUGUGGGCUGAACAGCACAGUGCUGCUUGAAGACAUGAAUUCAAGGAUGGUUCUCAAUGGGAAGAAGCACAGAGGCCAAAGGGGAAAGGUCAGAGGCCUCACUGCCCCCAUCCCUCCAUCUCCCACACAGAAGCCUGCAGGAGCAGCAAGAGACAUAGCACUCCUCCCCUGCAGAGACCACAGAAUCAUGGCGUCAUCUUGGAAGCAAAGAACAGCCCUCACCAGACACUAAACCUGUUGGCACUUUGAUGUUGGACUUCCCAGCAUCCAGAACUCUAAAAACUAAAAUUACUCAGUGCUUGUUAUUUUGUUCUAGCACACAAAUGGACUAAGAUAUUGCUAUAUUUUCUAGUGUUGAAAAUACAUUCAAUGUAACAAUUGCCCUCAGAUGUUGUCUAACAUAUAACUAAGAUCUAAAAAAUGCAACAAAAGCUUUGUGUUUUAGACUGGUGUUGUAUAUAAGAGUAAGAGGAGAGACAGGAAACUAGCCUGAUUUGAGAGGGAUGUAUUUGGGGCACCCAGUGUAACACCACACACAUAGAAGCCAAUAAAUAAAUGUUUGUUGAGUUAAUAAAAAGUGAGGUCUGUGAACAGGGGACUUUAUUAUUAUGGGAGGCACAGGGUGCAGUAGAAAUGGCUCUGGCCUUGAGGACACAUCUGUCCUGCACAUCUUUUGCUGCUCCUUCAUCCACUCCAGCCCUUAUGUACCUUAUGUACCUUAUGUACCCAUGAUGGCCUCCACUUGAGCUCUCUCCCCUUCUGGCUCUCAGAUAGGUAGGGCCAGUGGGGAGCAAUGGGAGAGGUCAGAGGGAGAAGGGAAGAGAAGGAGGCCACAGUACUCAAUCCUUGACCCCUUCCUUGUAAUGUCUAGGGAUAGCUGUGUCUCCCAAUCACAAGCCACUGUCCUGCCCUUUUUGACCUCCGACCCCAUCAACAUUCCAAGGGUGGAAAUGGUGAGGUUGGUGCUCUCCUCUGGGCACUGUUGUAACCUGUGGCUUCCCAACACCCUGCUGUAAACAGUCUUUUGAUGAAAGUCUUCUCAAAUUGCUUAAUUUGGACAGUGACAGCCUUUCCCACAUGGGCCUGUACAGCUAUGCUUGUUCAUAGGGAACACUUGGUUUUGUGCAGUAAAAAUCCAGUGAAGUGUGUUAAAGAAAAAAGCAAAGACAUGGGGUGAUGCAUGAGAAGCUGUUGAGUAACUUCUAGGGCCCAGAGGCAAGGUCAUCAGAACCCUUCCCAUGUGGUGCCAGAACUGGAACUAGAAGGUCAGCAGGAAGUAAAAUGGCCAUGCAAGGCACCCCUCCAGGCCUCAGUGGGGCUUUCAUAGCUGCUUCCCUCUGCAUGUCCCCCUGUCUCUCCCCACUAGCCAUGCCUGUCUCUCUUGGUUUCCCUGGUGAGAGAUGUUCCUCCCUUAAUUUACAGGUUCACAUGUUCUUAACUCAACUCACUAAGGUUCACAAUGCCUCUUAGGCCUUAAAAGAAUAACUAGGCUUUUCCACACAGGGCCAACACUCCACGCUUAUCCAAUUAGCUAUGGCAGGAGGAUCUGGGUCUGUUGUAUUUCUGCCUUCAUGAAUGAGGAAACAGUGGUAUAGUUACAUAAUUUUUAAGGUCACAUGGUGGUAGGACAAG
rnacentral:lncRNA from 1 species